rnacentral:rRNA from 1 species
GAGUUUGAUCGUGGCUCAGGAUGAACGCUGGCGGCGUGCUUAACACAUGCAAGUCGAACGAAGCGAUUUGAAUGAAGUUUUCGGAUGGAUUUAAAUUGACUGAGUGGCGGACGGGUGAGUAACGCGUGGGUAACCUGCCCCAUACAGGGGGAUAACAGUUAGAAAUGACUGCUAAUACCGCAUAAGACCACAGCGCCGCAUGGUGCAGGGGUAAAAACUCCGGUGGUAUGGGAUGGACCCGCGUCUGAUUAGCUAGUUGGCGGGUAACGGCCCACCAAGGCGACGAUCAGUAGCCGACCUGAGAGGGUGACCGGCCACAUUGGGACUGAGACACGGCCCAAACUCCUACGGGAGGCAGCAGUGGGGAAUAUUGCACAAUGGGGGAAACCCUGAUGCAGCGACGCCGCGUGAGUGA